GUUGAUUUUCAGCCCACACACAACUCACACACACUAACACCUAAAACACACACACCAUUCACGCAUAUACCAUUUUUUAGCUUGAGCUCAAGCUUUUGAGCUCCGAUUUGAGCACCGAGAUGAACGCCGAUCAUCUUUUCGAUCACGUAUCUAAGUAGGUUGAGCUGAUGUGAUGAUGGUGCUGCAAUGAGCGGAGUCUCCAGGGUUGUUAAUAAAUAGUUAACCUGUCUAGAAUAUGUCUUCAUACAUAUGUCUAGCUACUUUCCGCUGCAAGAUGUUGUUGAUGUUAUAGUAUGUUAUGUCAUACUUUGAGUCUUAAGAGAAUGGUUUCAUACGAUGUAUAACUUGAUUAAUGAUAUUAAUUAAGUUUUAUGCUGUCUUUCA